GCCUACUAGCUCAAUCGGAUAGAGCAUCAGACUCUUAAGGUGGUUUGGAUUCCUGAAAGCUGCCGGUCCGACCCCGGCGGUGGGCU